rnacentral:rRNA from 1 species
UACAUGGGGUGCAAACGUUGCUCGGAAUUACUGGGCGUAAAGCGCGCGUAGGCGGUUACUUAUGUCGGAUGUGAAAGCCCUCGGCUUAACUGAGGAAGUGCAUUCGAAACUGGGUAGCUAGAGUACUAAAGAGGGUCGCGGAAUUCCCGGUGUAGAGGUGAAAUUCGUAGAUAUCGGGAGGAACACCGGUGGCGAAGGCGGCGACCUGGGUAGAUACUGACGCUGAGGCGCGAAAGCGUGGGGAGCAAACAGG